rnacentral:rRNA from 1 species
AACGAACGCUGGCGGCGCGCCUAAUACAUGCAAGUCGAGCGAGAAGACGUAGCAAUACGUUUGUAAAGCGGCGAACGGGUGAGGAAUACAUGGGUAACCUACCCUCGAGUGGGGAAUAACUAGCCGAAAGGUUAGCUAAUACCGCGUACGCUCCUUGGACUUCGGUUCAGGGAGGAAAGCGAUACCGUGGGUAUCGCGCUCUUGGAUGGGCUCAUGUCCUAUCAGCUUGUUGGUGAGGUAACGGCUCACCAAGGCUUCGACGGGUAGCUGGUCUGAGAGGACGAUCAGCCACACUGGCACUGCGACACGGGCCAGACUCCUACGGGAGGCAGCAGUAAGGAAUAAUUGCGCAAUGGGCGAAAGCCUGACGCAGCGACGCCGCGUGGGGGAGU